rnacentral:rRNA from 1 species
AACGAACGCUGGCGGCAUGCCUAACACAUGCAAGUCGAACGAGACCUUCGGGUCUAGUGGCGCACGGGUGCGUAACGCGUGGGAAUCUACCCUCAGGUUCGGAAUAACUCAGAGAAAUUUGAGCUAAUACCGGAUGAUGACGUAAGUCCAAAGAUUUAUCGCAUGAGGAUGAGCCCGCUUAGGAUUAGGUAGUUGGUGAGGUAAAGGCUCACCAAGCCGACGAUCCUUAGCUGGUCUGAGAGGAUGAUCAGCCACACUGGGACUGAGACACGGCCCAGACUCCUACGGGAGGCAGCAGUGGGGAAUAUUGGACAAUGGGCGAAAGCCUGAUCCAGCAAUGCCGCGUGAGUGAUGAAGGCCUUAGGGUUGUAAAGCUCUUUUACCCGGGAUGAUAAUGACAGUACCGGGAGAAUAAGCUCCGGCUAACUCCGUG